rnacentral:rRNA from 1 species
AUUGAACGCUGGCGGCAGGCCUAACACAUGCCAGUCGAGCGGAUGAAGGGAGCUUGCUCCUGGAUUCAGCGGCGGACGGGUGAGUAAUGCCUAGGAAUCUGCCUGGUAGUGGGGGAUAACGUCCGGAAACGGGCGCUAAUACCGCAUACGUCCUGAGGGAGAAAGUGGGGGAUCUUCGGACCUCACGCUAUCAGAUGAGCCUAGGUCGGAUUAGCUAGUUGGUGGGGUAAAGGCCUACCAAGGCGACGAUCCGUAACUGGUCUGAGAGGAUGAUCAGUCACACUGGAACUGAGACACGGUCCAGACUCCUACGGGAGGCAGCAGUGGGGAAUAUUGGACAAUGGGCGAAAGCCUGAUCCAGCCAUGCCGCGUGUGUGAAGAAGGUCUUCGGAUUGUAAAGCACUUUAAGUUGGGAGGAAGGGCUGUAAGUUAAUACCUUGCUGUUUUGACGUUACCAACAGAAUAAGCACCGGCUAACUUCGUG